GUGGAUUUUACUUUAAGGAUCAAAUCCUUAGUUUGAGAGCAGGACAGAUGAGCAUAGUUUGUCUUGUAUUUGAUGGUCUGGUAGUAACUGUCAGUAUGGAUCCAUAUAACUGAGUAACCUCUUCCAUUGAGAACAAUUGACAAGUACACAGGUGCUCAACAAAUAUUUGUAACAUAUUUGGGGAAAAAGACACUCAGACUGCCAUAUUUUGAUGUUGUAAAUAAUUGCAUUUUGGAUAACUGUGAUUUUGAAAUAAUUCCUUAAUUUUUUUAGAAGUCAGUUUUCUGAUUCAGCAAAUUGGAUACUAAUACAGGACGUUUCAAUGGUGAGGGAGAAAGAUGGUUGUAUUGGGUUUUAACCCUAGAAUUAUGACCUUGGGCAAGUCACAUUUUCUUCUCUGCUCCCCAUAUACAAGCAGAAUGGACUUGGCUGUACCCAGUGAAUCUUUAAGGUUUCUUUUAAAAAUCUUUGCUUCUACUUUGGGAGGCUGAGGCAGGAGGAUCAGUUGAGGCCAGGAGUUCAAGACCAACUUGGGCAACAUAGCAAGACCCUUUCUCUACAAAAACAGAAAAAAUUAGUCAAAUGGGCUGGUGCAUACCUGUACUCCCAGCUACUCAGGAGGCUGAGGUGGCAGGAUUGCUUGAGUACAGUUCAAGGUUGCAGUGAACUAUGAUUGUGUCAUGGCAUUCCAGCCUGGGCAACAGAGCAAACAAAAAAGUCUUUGCUUUGGAGUAUGUUGAGUUGCUUGGAGACAAAAGUAUUUAGAGUAUAGGUGACCCAUAGGUUACAAUGACUUCACUUAGAAAUUUUCAGCUUUAUGAUGGUGCAAAAGUGAUGUGCAUUCAGAAGAAACUGAGCAUCAAGUACCCAUGCAACCAUUCUGUUUUUUACUUUCAGUGCAGUGUUCACUAACUUGAUAAAUAAAAUAGAAAAUAAUAAUAAAAUGCAGUUUAACGUGUAUGAGAUACACAACACUUUAUUAUAAAAUAAUCUUUGUGUUGUUAGAUGCUUUUGCUCAACUGUAGGCUAAUGUAAGUGUUCUGAUCGUGUUUUACGUAGGCUAGGCUAAGCUAUGAUGUUUGCUAGGUUAGGUGUAUUAAAUAUAUUUUUGACUUAUGUAUUUUCAACAUAAGCUGGGUUUAUUGGGAUGUAACCCCAUCGUAAGUUGAGGAACAUCUAUUCUAUGAGUGGUGUACACAAUAUUACUUUCACACAGAGUGAAGACUAAAAUAUUUAUGAUGCCUAUGUCUUUUUGGGGGAGAAUUGUUAAAUUUUGUUUGUUUGUUUUGUCCUCAACAG
rnacentral:lncRNA from 1 species